ACAUUUUUUAUAUAAAAAAUUAUAAUCUAAAAAUAAAUAGAUUAUAAAUAUUAAUAUUAAAAAUUUAAAUCUACUAAAUUUCACAACAUAGGGUGACGGACAUUUCUUCAAGUAAAUUGUGUCGGUGAAGUCAUACACAAGAAAAAGGAAAAACAGCUCAUUCCUCUAAUUAAUUAUUAGACAAGUAAUAGACAUUUAGGUGUUAUCUUAUUCUAAAUUGGAUAUCAGGAGGCAUCAACGGUUCAGGAACGAAGUAACUUGAUUCAUCAAAUCCACAGCCUUCUGACAAGAUGGGUAGACAUGUGAAACACAUGACCCUCUCCUGGAGUCUCGAAAAUGUCUAUCACCCCUUCCCACCCACUCUUUCGUACUGCUUCGUAGUAAGAUAUGGCCCUGUCCCUCAAGAAAUCUUUCUCUGAAGCACGACCAGCACCCUGCUGCACGCCAGGCCGGCUAGAUCCUUGUGUCGGUGAAGUCAUACACAAGAAAAGGAAAAACAGCUCAUGCCUCUAAUUAAUUAUUAGACAAGUAAUAGACAUUUAGGUGUUAUUUAUUCUAAAUUGAUAUCAGGAAGCAUCAACGGUUCAGGAACGAAGAAACUUGAUUCAUCAAAUCCACAGCCUUCUGACAAGAUGGGUAGACAUGUGAAACACAUGACCCUCUCCUGGAGUCUCGAAAAUGUCUAUCACCCCUUCCCACCCACUCUUUCGUACUGCUUCGUAGUAAGAUAUGGCCCUGUCCCUCAAGAAAUCUUUCUCUGAAGCACAGACCAGCACCCUGCUGCACGCCAGGCCGGCUAGAUCCUUGUGUCGGUGAAGUCAUACACAAGAAAAAGGAAAAACAGCUCAUGCCUCUAAUUAAUUAUUAGACAAGUAAUAGACAUUUAGGUGUUAUCUUAUUCUAAAUUGGAUAUCAGGAGGCAUCAACGGUUCAGGAACGAAGAAACUUGAUUCAUCAAAUCCACAGCCUUCUGACAAGAUGGG
rnacentral:lncRNA from 1 species